UACGUAGGGUGCGAGCGUUAAUCGGAAUUACUGGGCGUAAAGCGUGCGCAGGCGGUUUUGUAAGCCAGAUGUGAAAUCCCCGGGCUCAACCUGGGAAUGGCAUUUGGGACUGCAAGGCUGGAGUGCGGCAGAGGAGACUGGAAUUCCUGGUGUAGCAGUGAAAUGCGUAGAUAUCAGGAGGAAUACCGAUGGCGAAGGCAGGUCUCUGGGCUGACACUGACGCUCAUGCACGAAAGCGUGGGGAGCGAAA
rnacentral:rRNA from 1 species